CACAAGUUAUCCCACCCUGUGGAGCCUACUCGUGGAGAAAUAAUAGAAACAGUAAAACCCUCCUGACCACCUUUAGGUCUGGGUUCUUGCAUCCCAUCCAAACCUGCUACUCUCCUCACCUAAUUUAAGGAACACAAGUUAUCCCACCCUGUGGAGCCUACUCGUGGAGAAAUAAUAGAAACAGUAAAACCCUCCUGACCACCUUUAGGUCUGGGUUCUUGCAUCCCAUCCAAACCUGCUACUCUCCUCACCUAAUUUAAGGAACACAAGUUAUCCCACCCUGUGGAGCCUACUCGUGGAGAAAUAAUAGAAACAGUAAAACCCUCCUGACCACCUUUAGGUCUGGGUUCUUGCAUCCCAUCCAAACCUGCUACUCUCCUCACCUAAUUUAAGGAACACAAGUUAUCCCACCCUGUGGAGCCUACUCGUGGAGAAAUAAUAGAAACAGUAAAACCCUCCUGACCACCUUUAGGUCUGGGUUCUUGCAUCCCAUCCAAACCUGCUACUCUCCUCACCUAAUUUAAGGAACACAAGUUAUCCCACCCUGUGGAGCCUACUCGUGGAGAAAUAAUAGAAACAGUAAAACCCUACUGACCACCUUUAGGUCUGGGUUCUUGCAUCCCAUCCAAACCUGCUACUCUCCUCACCUAAUUUAAGGAACUCAAGUUAUCCCACCCUGUGGAGCCUACUCGUGGAGAAAUAAUAGAAACAGUAAAACCCUACUGACCACCUUUAGGUCUGGGUUCUUGCAUCCCAUCCAAACCUGCUACUCUCCUCACCUAAUUUAAGGAACUCAAGUUAUCCCACCCUGUGGAGCCUACUCGUGGAGAAAUAAUAGAAACAGUAAAACCCUACUGACCACCUUUAGGUCUGGGUUCUUGCAUCCCAUCCAAACCUGCUACUCUCCUCACCUAAUUUAAGGAACUCAAGUUAUCCCACCCUGUGGAGCCUACUCGUGGAGAAAUAAUAGAAACAGUAAAACCCUACUGACCACCUUUAGGUCUGGGUUCUUGCAUCCCAUCCAAACCUGCUACUCUCCUCACCUAAUUUAAGGAACUCAAGUUAUCCCACCCUGUGGAGCCUACUCGUGGAGAAAUAAUAGAAACAGUAAAACCCUACUGACCACCUUUAGGUCUGGGUUCUUGCAUCCCAUCCAAACCUGCUACUCUCCUCACCUAAUUUAAGGAACUCAAGUUAUCCCACCCUGUGGAGCCUACUCGUGGAGAA